CUCUUUAGAGUGUUACAACCAUCAGCACGUUAGAUUUUCAUUCUAAAAGAAUACAAUUUAAGUAUUGAAGAGC
rnacentral:tRNA from 1 species